AUUGAACGCUGGCGGCAUGCUUUACACAUGCAAGUCGAACGGCAGCGCGGGCUUCGGCCUGGCGGCGAGUGGCGAACGGGUGAGUAAUACAUCGGAACGUGCCCAGUAGUGGGGGAUAGCUCGGCGAAAGCCGGAUUAAUACCGCAUACGACCUGAGGGUGAAAGCGGGGGAUCUUCGGACCUCGCGCUAUUGUAGCGGCCGAUGGCAGAUUAGCUAGUUGGUGGGGUAAAGGCCUACCAAGGCGACGAUCGGUAGCUGGUCUGAGAGGACGACCAGCCACACUGGGACUGAGACACGGCCCAGACUCCUACGGGAGGCAGCAGAGGGGAAUUUUGGACAAUGGGCGAAAGCCUGAUCCAGCAAUGCCGCGUGUGUGAUGAAGGCCUUCGGGUUGUAAAGCACUUUUGGCGGGAACGAAAAGGACUGUGCCAAUACCACGGUUCGAUGACGGUACCCGCAGAAUAAGCACCGGCUAACUACGUG
rnacentral:rRNA from 1 species